AAUACACAAUCUUACAAGAGGAGCUCUUAACGGACUCGGGCAGGGAAAGAAGCGAUAUGUGUGUGUUCAUGAGUCUUGGAGAAGGCAACUCAGUGAAAUCGAAAUUUGGAGACUCGUAGUACACUCCUUCCAAGAAGGGUAUGAGAAGGUGCGGAUUGGUAACAAGAAGAGGAUGAUCACCAGAAGAAACUGGAAACUUGUGUCGGUUAAUGAGAGAAAAGACAAGAGCUUUUAACCAAGUGGUACCUGAUUUAGGAUUGGUGACGAGGAUAAUGUCGGAAUCUUUGGCCUCAAAGUGUUUUUGGCAUUGCAAGAGUCCUUGUAAGAGGGCUUGUGUGUGCCAACGUCCUUGAAACUGAUACAUUUGGCUCACCAACCAACCUUUCUCGCUUGGAAGAGAAGAGAUCAGAUCUCUUGUUUCUUGUGUCAGAUCUUCAUCUCUCAAGUAAGAUGAUGAUGAUGAUGACAUUGUUGAAGAGUAUAGAUUAAUCUUGAUUUUUUUUAGAAACUAUGAGAUGUUUUUUGCAUCUAUGAGGGUAAUACUUGUGUGCUAUUUAUAAUAAGCGCAAUAUCGAUGGAAUAGUCACCAUAUCCUGCUCUACAAAUAAAUCGCAAUACUGUUCUCGGAUUUAUCUUUUUGUCUUAAUCUUUGAUGGAAUAGUCAACAUGCUUGAAGAGCACGUAGGAUAAUAUCUCAAAAAGAAAAAACAAGAGAGAGAGAUAAUCACGGCUCUACUAUCAUAUUAUCAGAAGGAUGAGCGCCAGAAUAUUGUAAGAACUUGUUUGUUAUUUUGUUGACUCACUGCUUUUAAUAUUACCUAGCUUUUGAUCUGCGUGUCCGCAUGGAUGUUUGUUCUUCCUAAAUAUAUGUUUUUUAUGUGUAUAAACAUUUAUGUUACUGAUUCCAAUUAUAAAUUAUGCAGUUGUAUUCUUCUUUUAUUGUACUUUUAUUAUUUUUACUUGGUAAUUGAAUUAAUAUUCUAAAGUGCAAAAUAUUAGAGUAUAUUAAGUAUGUGCUUUAUUAAAUUAAACUAUAAAUAUUGUGAUUAAAAUUAGAUGUAAAGUUAUAAUUUUAUAGUUAUUUUAACAAAUACAUUAUUUAGAUAGUAACAUACAAAAUAAUUGAAAAAAUAACAAAAAAAAUUCAAAAAUAAGUACGGAUUUUUGGUAAUUUUAUCUACCAAACCCAAUUUGAAGUUGACUCACGCAACCGCGCAGGUAUUUGAUAAUUAAAAAAUUGAAAUAAGUAAUUUCAUACUAUUUUAUUCCAAAAAUAUUGUAAUAACAAUCAGUUUUAUGACGGACAGUGGUAUCGUAUAAAAAUCCCACAUCUAUUAAUAAUUGGAGUUAUAAUUAGGGAAAUUCUCUCAAAUAGAUAUUUUUAAGUUUUUGUCAUAAAAAAUAGUCUUUAAAAAUAAAAAGACCAAAAUAGCUUUAUUUAUUUUGAAAAUUUUAAUUUUAAUUUUUUAUUUUUUAUUUAAAUUUGAACACAUCCCAAAACCCAACCCCUUAACUCUAAACCCUAAUUCUUAUAUUAGUUAACCCUAAGGAUAUAAAUUCAUAUUUACCCUUCAAUAAAACCUCUUUUGGUCAUUUUCUUCUUUGAAGAUCUAUUUUUGUGAAAAUAAAUUAAAAAAGCUAUCUAAGGGAAUUUCUCUUAUAAAUAUAUGUGCCUUUUUAUUUUAUAAAAGAAUUAUUUUUCAACAUUUAAGUUUUAUAGAUAUAUUAGAAUUACAUAUUACAUAUUUGUUUAAAUUUGGCAUGUCUACACAUAAACAUUCUUAUUGUUUAUAUGUUAGUAUUUAUUGUUUAGAUUAUUCGGUUCCUUGGUUGUGUAUAUGAAUUUAUUUGUACUUUGUAAAAAUUUGGAAUAUAAAUAAUUAACAUGUACAUAUAUAUUUGUACAUUAACUUAAUAAAACUCUUUUAUUUUUUAUUUGUUUUAAUUUCUCUUCUAAAUUUCUUUAUGAAAGCAGAGUUCGUCCAUGGGAUUUAUAUAGUUGAGUGCUAUAUUAAUGUUUUUUUCUUGUGGUUCGAAAAUUGUGUUUACUACUACAUUUUACAAGAUAAGUUCAAUACUCUAGGAGGAGACUGCAAAACAUCUUUGAGUUGUAAUGUAAUGAUUAUAGAGGAAUUGUAACAAGAAACUCUUUGAGAGAGGUGCAACAUGAGAGGCGUGGGAAUUUCUAUAUACUUCUUUAGUACUAUCGUAUAUUGAUUAAAAGAAAUAAUUAAUUAGACUACGAAUAGUAAGGGUAAAGAAGAACUGAGAGUUAAUAUUUUCAUGAUUAUAAAUAUUAAAUAGAACAGAUACACCAAAACAUAUUUUCGAGUUUCUAAGCAAAUUUUGGAGAAUCUUGACUGAGUACUAAUAUUUGAGAGACGAGGAGACAUCGUGGGACUCCGAAUGGUUUAGUUAUUUCCUUAGUUCAUACAUAUUUUAUGUACUAGUAAUAAAAAUGAAUAUACAAAAAAUGGAAUUUAUUGCAAUGAAAAAUUGUUUUGUCUUUUUUAUUUAUUACUCCUAGUUAGAUGAAUUACCUAACUCCAUUAAUAAAUAGUUUGAGAGUUCCGUAACCCAAAAUUUUGUUUCCUUUUGGUUUAUAGACUAGUUAUACUUCUAUUAAGUGUUUAUGUCUUACUUUACAAAAAUAUGAACAAUUUGAUAGGUAAACUACCUUUUACUUACAUACUAGGUGAUAAUCCGCGCUUUGCGCGGAAUGAAAUUAUUAUUUUUGAUAUUUAUAAGAUAAAAAGACCUAAAGUCUGUUAAAUGUGGACAUCAGUUUAAUUGUAUGUUGGAUUUUAUUAUAUUUUACUCCGUUGAAAUAUAAAAGUCUUAUUUAUUUUGGUUUGGAGAAUUCACAAAAGUGCUGGAGGUUGACGAUGAAGAAUAUUGUAGAAGAAGUCUUAUAAAUAAAAAGCUCAAGUUUAUUAAGACGCAUAAAGAUAAAACAAAUAAUACGAUUUAAAUCUAUUGCCAUAAACUAAGUUUUUGAAAUAUAUGCAAAUCCCCUAUUCAUAAUUAACUCAAUCACGCAUAUUAGCAAAAUAGGCAACUGUCAUAUAGUAAACUUGAAAUAACCGAACUGAAGUGUGGUUUAUCUUCGUUGAUUUCAAUAGAUGUUCCAACUCGGAACCGACAUGUUCGAUUCGGUAAACCCCCAAUCAGAAGUUCCAACUUGGAACUAAUAAUAGUCGCAUAUGAAUAUAACUUUUUGUUUUUGUUUUUACGUGUCUCUCUUAGCCAUUCAUCUACAACAAACUGCACCACACAAGAAAAAAAGGAGACUCUUCUAGUUUAGCUUGAAAGCUGUGUGUUUAUCCUAUAGAUUCUGUACCGAUUAUCAACUCUAUUGCAGAAUCUCCAUGAUCUCAUAAGACUUCGACCCUUCUUGCCUUCGCAUGCACCGCCUCCAUUAAUUUGUACGUGAUAAUAAAGAAUAAAUAGUAUGCUUAAAAGAAUGUAUGGUAGGUAAAAGUGUGCUAGCCAGCCAUGCAAACGUAAAAUUAUUAUCAUUGGCAAUGUAAAAAUGUUAUCAUAUGUUUUUGUGAGCUUGACGAAAGAAAGAGGAGAAGAGUUCAUGAGCUGCAGUAGUUUGUACUAACGAUAAUUCUAAGCUUGACGAAACAAUGGGAGAAUAGUUCUCUUUUUGACAGUAAUAAUCAACAGCUACGCAAAAAGAUGCAAAAGAAGUCGCCUCACAAAGCCGAUCUAAUGAACAAAAACUUACAGGUUCUCUUCUCCUCUUCAAGACUUCAACAAUGGACUAACGGAUGCGUUGGAUUUCUCACAGGUUCGGUCGAGAAACACAGUUCUUUUUAUCUCAGUUUGCGUGACGCUUCUCCACGACUAAAGUCCCCAUCUCAAGAACCUCGCCGAGAAUAACCUAGAUGGAUCGUCGUCGUAUAGGCCAUGCGAAGAAGGAAGAGGAGACUUCUAUGUUCAGUAGACUAACGGGUGUGUUGGAUUUCUAUUUUUUUUCUUAAAACACAUUUCUUUUCAUCUCAGGUUGAAAUUUAUAAUCCUUUUUGUCUAUAAAAAUUGUCAUCACCUGAUGUCUGAUGAGAUAUGUUGAAACCUCGAAGGUGUGAAGAAGAUUACAAACUAUUUAGAAAGUGUUUCAAUCUUCAAGCUAGUUUAGAAUCAAAAGAUCGUUAAGAAAAUCACACAAAAAAAACGCCAAAAUACUCCAAAAGAUGGAAAAUAAGAAAAUAUAUAUGUGAGAGUGUCUCUCUAAAUGACACAUGUCAAUAUUGGUGUGAACGCAUUAAUUGCAAUGUUUCUCUUUUAAUAUAUAAAAGAUUCUAUUCAUAGUGAAUAUAAUUAAGGAAACCACAUAAAAUUUUAACAGGUAAAAAUAUGAUUUAUACUAUUACAUCAUUUGACUAUUUACUAGAAAAUGGACCGAAAUCCUACUUUUCCACUGUUCCAAGAUCCUAAUUGACAUAGAUGUAUGAUGUAUCAAUAUUGGGACAUUGGCACAUUUGUUGCUCUUUAUGUUUGAUCCUUCCAACCCAUUGCUAUUUUUGCUUCUAUUAUAGUAGUUAGAGUCAAUUUCACUACAACUCAUUGCUAUUCCAAUUCACAUCUAUUUCUAUCUCUAUAUUUUUUCCUAAAAUAGAGAAACUCUAUUAUAAAUGUGAAAUUGCUCCAAUGUAUGCCUCUAUAAUAAAGUUCCUCUAUUUAUAGGGAAAAUAUAGAGAUAUGUUGUUUUUACCUCUAAAUAUAAAUGCAAAAAGUAACUUUCAUCUAUAUUUUCCUCUAAAAUAGAGGAACUCUAUUAUAGAUGUAUACAUUGGAGCAUUAUUACCUCUAUAAUAGAGAUCUAUAUUUUAGAAGAAAUUAUAGAGGUGUACAUUGGAGAUGCUCUAAAAUAGAGAUUGUUAUUUCUUUCCUUAAAUAUAGAAGAAAAAAUAGUAAUUUCUAUUUUUUUUUACUCUAUAUUUUGAAGAUUGCUAUCAUAUGAUAAUACAUUAAAGCAAAUUCCAUCUUUGUUAUAGAAAUCCUUUAUUUUAGAAGAGAAUAUAACAAAAUACAUUGGAAAUGGUCUAAGUAAUACUUCUGGUCUCUUUGGUUUCUUACUAAUUCUAGUCUCUCGUUUGGUUGGUUUUGUUGUUUUCUAUUUCUCUAGCUUUCUUCAAGUCCGGCUCAGAUUUGUAGAGCCCUUUCAGAUUUGGUGUCCCUUUUUGGUAUUGGAACCGGUUGCAUUAUUUUAAGAAAAUAUCGAUGGUAUAUUAUCAUGGGGAAUUAGGGGACAUGACCAUAUGAAAAAAAGAAACUAAGGUUCUAACCAUAACAUAAAUUUGGGUAUGAUAUUGUACAUAAUAUAACAACAACUGACGUAAAUAUCCUUCUUUGCGCGUGAGCAAAAAAUAAAGAUUAUGUCUUCUCUUUUUCAAAUUGAGAAGUCGUUUUUCAAUUUUGAAAUCCAUACCCCGCAUGCGACGAAAAAAUUAGAUGUUGAGAGAGAAAUUGUGAGUUUGAUUUGGAAAACAGAAAAUGGUUAACUCUCACCCUUCCGGUGGUAGCGAUCUGUGUUGUGUCAUAUAAAAAAGUUAGGGUUACAGUGGCAGUUCAAAAGUGACGGCGGUAGUUUGAAAGUGACGGCGGCGCAGGCGAUUGAAGAGCGAACGGCGGCAAUCAAGGUUUUUCCUGUUUGAAUUAAUAGUUGUAGUUGACAUCACAUCAAGUUCUAAGCAACCCGAUCUGUUUGUGUUUUAUCUGAAAUUGAAUUCACCAUUUAUUUUUCAGAUCUGGUUUGAAGGGGUUAACGGCAAAACGACAAGGCUCAUACUUUCCGAGAAAAGUUAAAUGAAAGUUAUAUCUCCUAUACUAUAUGAGAACAGUAAAUAGUAUAGUUACUCAAAUUUACUUGAACUAGUUCAUAUUUUUCAUUUGCAUACGCACUAUAAACAUUUAGAUUUGCCUGCAUAUUUGUUUUGUGUGUGUGGCUUCUGUAUAAUGUAUGCAAAUAGUUUUAUCCUGCGUACUGAUGUAAUGAGAAGUCAUACUAGUUAAAAAAGUACAUAGUAUAGUCACAAUGGUGUGGUUCUACUAUUUCACAUAUUUCUUUUGUAUUCACACUUUAUACAUUUAGACAUGCAUUCAUGUGCUUAUUUGUGUGGAUGGCUUUAGUACUACACGUUUUUGUUUUGUUGCUUUGGACAACUCGUUCACGCAAGUAACUCACAUGAAGUGAGAAUGCUUAUAGACAUUAAAAACAACAUGACACGACCUAAAAGUCGUAUUUUUAAAAUAACAAACAUCAUGACAUGAAAAAUACAAAUUUAUUCAGCAACAACAAACAACAACAACAAAACAUAGAAAUUUAUUUAGCAACAAAAAAAAGCACAACAAAACAUAACAAAAAGAGAAAAAGACAAAAAUAGCACUAAAUCAAGUUUUUGUUCUCAAACUAGCACUCAAGGUCAAAAGUCACAAAAAUAACACUUAUUGUUUUAUCAAAAGUCACAAAUUUAGGAUUUAGAGUUAAAGGGUGGAGUUUAGAAUUUAGGGUAUAGGGUUUAAGGUUUAGAGUUUAGAGUUUAGAGUUUAGAGUUUAGGGUUUAGGGUUUAGGGUUUAGGGUUUAGGGUUUAGAGUUUAGGGUUUAGGGUUUAGAGUUUAGGGUUUAGGGAUUAAGGUUUAGGGUUUAGGGUUUAGAAUUUAUUGUUUAGGGUUUAGAGUUUAGGGUUUAGGGUUUAGAGUUGAGAAAUGAGGUUUUGGGGAUAAGAUUUCAAAUUUUGAAAAAUAAAAAAAUUAAAAUUUUCAAAAGAUAUAAUGCUAUUUUGGUCAUUUUAGUUUUUUAGUGUUAUUUUUGUGAUAUAAACUUAGAAAUGUGUUAUUUUGGAGAUUUGCCCUAACAAAAAGUCUCAAGGACUGAUUCAACAAGAAAAUUUGAGACGAGAACCUUGAAACUUCUCUUCCAUGGUUCUAUCUAUUUCCUCUGCCAAGGACUCACUCAAAGUAUCUCUCCAUCCUCCAACCUCUCCCUUUCUGAAGAAAGCUUUAGUCUCCACUCCAUUUGGCAACUUCCCUUCUCUAUUAGCUUCCAGACUACUUAAGCUCUCAAAACUACACAACUUCACAAUCCCUCCGACUUCUUCUUCUUCAAUAAAACCACAUCCCAAGAACUCGGCUAUUCUCUUGAUCGUAUCUCCAGUCUGCUUCUUCAGCUCCUCGUAUGUAACAAAUAAGACCUUGUUCGGAUUCUCAAGGCUGGCAUACCAGUACUCCAGCACAUGAUCCCAAAAGGGUCCACCUAUAAACUUCCCUUGACAAAACGCUUCAACCGCUUUUUCAAUAGGAUAAUCAGCAGUUUCUUGAGGAGCAAGUUUCUUUCCAAAAUGCCAUAAGGACACAAACAUGUCCUUAGGGUUCCUACAACAAUACACAAUCUUACAAGAGGAGCUCUUAACGGACUCGGGCAGGGAAAGAAGCGAUAUGUGUGUGUUCAUGAGUCUUGGAGAAGGCAACUCAGUGAAAUCGAAAUUUGGAGACUCGUAGUAAACUCCUUCCGAGAAGGGUAUGAGAAGGUGCGGAUUGGUAACAAGAAGAGGAUGAUCACCAGAAGAAACUGGAAACUUGUGUCGGUUAAUGAGAGAAAAGACAAGAGCUUUUAACCAAGUGGUACCUGAUUUAGGAUUGGUGACGAGGAUAAUGUCGGAAUCUUUGGCCUCAAAGUG
rnacentral:lncRNA from 1 species